UGGGGAAUUUUGGACAAUGGGGGCAACCCUGAUCCAGCCAUCCCGCGUGUGCGAUGAAGGCCUUCGGGUUGUAAAGCACUUUUGGCAGGGAAGAAACAGCCUGGGAUAAUACCCCGGGCGACUGACGGUACCUGCAGAAUAAGCACCGGCUAACUACGUGCCAGCAGCCGCGGUAAUACGUAGGGUGCAAGCGUUAAUCGGAAUUACUGGGCGUAAAGCGUGCGCAGGCGGUUCGGAAAGAAAGGUGUGAAAUCCCAGGGCUUAACCUUGGAACUGCACUUUUAACUACCGAGCUAGAGUACGUCAGAGGGGGGUAGAAUUCCACGUGUAGCAGUGAAAUGCGUAGAGAUGUGGAGGAAUACCGAUGGCGAAGGCAGCCCCCUGGGAUGAUACUGACGCUCAUGCACGAAAGCGUGGGGAGCAAACAGGAUUAGAUACCCUGGUAGUCCACGCCCUAAACGAUGUCAACUAGCUGUUGGGGUUUAUUAACCUUAGUAGCGCAGCUAACGCGUGAAGUUGACCGCCUGGGGAGUGCGGUCGCAAGAUUAAAAC
rnacentral:rRNA from 1 species